GACAGAGGAGGCAAGCGUUGUUCGGAAUCAUUGGGCUUAAAGGGCGUGUAGGCGGCAACGCAAGUGUCGAGUGAAAUCCCAUCGCUCAACGAUGGAACGGCUCGGCAAACUGCGUGGCUUGAGGUCGGUAGAGGUGUUCGGAACUCUAGGUGGAGCGGUGAAAUGCGUAGAUAUCUAGAGGAACGCCUGAGGCGAAAGCGGGGCGCUGGGCCGAUUCUGACGCUGAGACGCGAAAGCGUGGGGAGCAAACAGG
rnacentral:rRNA from 1 species